CGCGUGGGGAUCUACCCAUUGGUACGGAAUAACCCAGGGAAACUUGGACUAAUACCGUAUAAGCCCUUCGGGGGAAAGAUUUAUCGCCAAUGGAUGAACCCGCGUCUGAUUAGCUAGUUGGUGAGGUAAAGGCUCACCAAGGCGACGAUCAGUAGCUGGUCUGAGAGGAUGAUCAGCCACACUGGGACUGAGACACGGCCCAGACUCCUACGGGAGGCAGCAGUGGGGAAUAUUGGACAAUGGGCGCAAGCCUGAUCCAGCCAUGCCGCGUGAGUGAUGAAGGCCUUAGGGUUGUAAAGCUCUUUCGCCGGUGAAGAUAAUGACGGUAACCGGAGAAGAAGCCCCGGCUAACUUCGUG
rnacentral:rRNA from 1 species